rnacentral:rRNA from 1 species
GAUCCUGGCUCAGAUUGAACGCUGGCGGCAUGCCUUACACAUGCAAGUCGAACGGCAGCACGGGCUUCGGUCUGGUGGCGAGUGGCGAACGGGUGAGUAAUAUAUCGUCAUACCCUAGAGUGGGGGAUAACGUAGCGAAAGUUACGCUAAUACCGCAUACGAACUAAGGUUGAAAGUGGGGGAUCGCAAGACCUCAUGCUCAUGGAGUGGCCGAUAUCUGAUUAGCUAGUUGGUGAGGUAAAGGCUCACCAAGGCGACGAUCAGUAGCUGGUCUGAGAGGACGACCAGCCACACUGGAACUGAGACACGGUCCAGAC